rnacentral:tRNA from 1 species
GGGGGCGUAGUCUAGCUAGGUAUGACGCCGGGCUCCAGACCCGUAGGUCGAGGGUUCAAGUCCCUUCGCCCCCACCA